rnacentral:lncRNA from 1 species
AAGAAAUUAUUUUAGGCAGAGAGGCAAAGGGGUCCUUGGGAAGUUUUAGUUUUUUAAAGCAUCUCCAGAAAAGUUUCUUGUAAAGCCCCGACUCUUACAGUCAGGCCAUCAACCUUUGAUAUGCAAAUGCAGGCCAUUAGAAACUGGGUCCACCCAACAUGUCAAUUCCCACAGCCUUCUUGCCCUUGCCCCACAUGUUCCUGGCAACAUGGCCACCCCCACCUAUCCCUACGUGUGUAGAACAUCGUGGCGCCCCAUAUUUGCAUAUGGGUGGGAGGGCCAGCUCUUCCUCUGGCUAUUUGAAGACAUGCCUAGUCAAACCAAUCCCCUGAGCCCUAUGCAAAUCAAACACUGCCUUCUCCAGCCUCUGUAUAUAUACCUAGCUGGUAUCCGUGGCAGGUGGGGACCUUCUCUUUCGGCUUUGGAGCCCCCUCUCCUGUCUCUGUACAGGUGAGCUGCUUCUUUCUUCCUUCUCCCUUCCUUCUAGCCCCUUCUUGCCUAUUAAACUCUCUGCUCCUUAAAACAAAAAACAAAACAAACAACAAAAAAGAAACUCUAUGGGAAAGAAGACAAAAACAGAUUUAAAAAACUUUCAGUGCUCUAAUCUCAUAAAAAUACAUAAUUCUAUAAAAUUGUAGGUACAUACUCUUUGUACUCAGAAUUUCCAUUUAACAUUAUUUUACAAGAAGAACUCAACUAAGUGCUGGAGCUAUGCGGUUCCAAUCCUUAUUCUGUCAUUAUAUGACAUAUGGCCUCAAGCAUGACAUUUCAGCAUCAUGGGCUUCACUUUCCCCAUUCAUACACAGUGCAGGGCUCGAUGCUGUUUACACACACGCAUUUGUACAUAUCACUGUAGUGCACAUGCUUGCCAUUUUUAAUGGUUAUAGUGUUCUAAGGGGCUAAUAAUUAUGAAAGAUAGAGCCAUGGGGAGAACAGAAACAGAGGAGUAAGAAUACAUUUUCGGGCACAUGCAAGUGAACUGACACCAGAAGACAAAGAAUGAAACAUAACAGCCUUAAAGUUUUAGAGACCAAAUAAAGGUUUAGUAAGAAAAACUAGUACUUAGAUUUGCAUGAAACAGAUCCUUAGGAUUAAUAUUUAGAUCUUACCAGAAAUCUGCCUUAAGAGAUGUGAUGGGAAAGGAGGGCUAUUAGCUUAUAAACACCGUAAGUUAUAGACAUAUAAUAGUUAAAACACAACGUAUUAGGUAUACAUCUAGUUGCUUUCUUAAUUGCCCUCUACUUAACCCACUUGGCAGAUUAACUGACAAGUUCUAUUCCCUUGUAAAUUUCCUGAUGGCAUUGUCACAGGCCUUUUGCAGCUAAUUUGCUGCUUUCUAGCAUACAUAACAUGGAAGUGUUCUCUCCAAUUUAGGUGCAUGCUUAACAAGAUUUAGUUGUUUGCACCCGAAAGUUUAUCCCAGUUAUGUAAUUAUAUCCCUCAUUACACAGAUAUUAGGUAACUGAUGGCAUGAGUGAAGAGUUGUCUUUAUGAAAACCAACUUGAAUGGUUGGAAAGAAUUGCCAGUGACACUCCGGGAGCAGUGAGAAUCCCUAGUGCCCAGAUCUUGGUUUCUAAAUAGCUACCUAUUAAAAGGAGCCAGGGAUUCUUGGAAAAAGGUUUCAUUCCAGGCCUGGGGCAUUGAAAAUGCAAGGCCAACUUGAGAUAUCUUGUGUUAGAAGGCAAUCAAGUGUCCAAAGACUAGAGAGUGAAUGUCAAAAGGACAUAAGAGAUACUUGAAGGGCUCCACCUGGCCAAAUUUGGGACAAUCUGAACAUCAGAAACAAUGAUCAUAAAUGACUUAACACAUUGAAUCAUGUGUUAUCACUGCAGAUGAAAGCAUCAAACUCUUUACUGGUAAUUAAACUCCUACACUGGUAAUUAAGGUAAAAUAAUUGCUGACUGUGCCUCUAGUGCAUUCCUAGUUGAUGAGGGAACAUUAUACAAGAAUGCCACUCAACAAGUGUAGAGUGAUAGAAUUAGAAAAUUGUCAUUUUGCAAACAUUGAUGAGACAAUGGAUUCAGGCAACGAUCACCGUUGGUUACUUUUUACCAGGUAAAAAGUUGUUGGCAAUCAAAAUAUCCAUGUGCUGCCAGUGUCAGUCCACAGAUUAAUUGCAAUAGGAAAAACUACCUUUAUAUUGGGAAGAUCUGGUGACCUCAAAUGAGUGAUCCAUUGAUAAUGAGUCAACCUGAUAUUAAUGAGACUUUUGAUAUGAUGCACUAUGAAAUACAUCUGUGAGGUGUUAUCAUUAAAAAUGUUUAAACAACCCAAUCAAGCCUUUUGCCCUAACUUCUAAUUUAUGGAAACUACAGGGGGUACCGGAACAACCCACAUGUAAAUAAUCAGUUGAAUCCUGAACAUGAGACAUUUUUCAAGACAACUGACCUGCUCUCUUAAAGAGGAAAAACUGUCCGGGCGCGGUGGUUCACGCCUGUAAUGCCAGUACUUUGGGAGGCUGAGGCGGGUGGAUCACGAGGUCAGGAUAUCGAGACAAGCCUGGCUAACACAGUGAAAC